AUGGGGCAAAAUGACUUGGUUAGAUGUGGUCGGGAAGAACGAGGUUUGGGCGUGGCUGGGGAAGAACGAGGUCAGGGGUGUGGUCAGGAAAAAAAAAACGAGGUGUGGGCGUGGCCAGACAGAAUGAGGGCAGGAGUGGCCAGAAAGGAGGUCUCAGCAGGGCCAAGGAAGAAAGAGGUCUGGGCGUGGCCAGAGAGAAGGACUGGGCGUGGCCAGGGAGGAGGAUGGGGCGUGGCCAGGGAAAGGUUGGGGCGUGGCCAGGGAGGAGGAUGGGGCGUGGCCAGAGAAAGGUUGGGGCGUGGCCAGGGAGGAGGAUGGGGCGUGGCCAGGGAGGAGAACUGGGCGUGGCCAGGGAAAGGUUGGGGAGUGGCCCGGGAGGAGGAUGAGGAGAGGCCAGGGAGAGGGAGGAUUGGGCAUGGCCAGGGAGGAGGACGGGGCGUGGCCGGGAGAAGGAGGACAGGGCGUGGUCAGGGAGAACAGGUCGUUUUGUGGAAUAGGAUCGCCUUUCAA
rnacentral:lncRNA from 12 species